rnacentral:rRNA from 1 species
ACGGGUGAGUAACACGUAUGCAAUCCACCUGUAACAGGGGGAUAACCCGGAGAAAUCCGGACUAAUACCCCAUAAUAUGGGCGCUCCGCAUGGAGAGCCCAUUAAAGAGAGCAAUUUUGGUUACAGACGAGCAUGCGCUCCAUUAGCCAGUUGGCGGGGUGACGGCCCACCAAAGCGACGAUGGAUAGGGGUUCUGAGAGGAAGGUCCCCCACAUUGGAACUGAGACACGGUCCAA